rfam:Ictidomys tridecemlineatus contig044450, whole genome shotgun sequence.
GGAAUCAUAGCUUAGUGGUAGAGCACUUGCCUAGCACGCAAGAGGCCUGGGGUUUAAUCCCUAGUACCA